rnacentral:rRNA from 1 species
AGUGAACGCUGGCGGUAGGCCUAACACAUGCAAGUCGAACGGCAGCACAGUAAGAGCUUGCUCUUACGGGUGGCGAGUGGCGGACGGGUGAGGAAUACAUCGGAAUCUACUUUUUCGUGGGGGAUAACGUAGGGAAACUUACGCUAAUACCGCAUACGACCUACGGGUGAAAGCAGGGGAUCUUCGCACCUUGCGCGAUUCAAUGAGCCGAUGUCGGAUUAGCUAGUUGGCGGGGUAAAGGCCCACCAAGGCGACGAUCCGUAGCUGGUCUGAGAGGAUGAUCGGCCACAAUGGAACUGAGACACGGUCCAGACUCCUACGGGAGGCAGCAGUGGGGAAUAUUGGACAAUGGGCGAAAGCCUGAUCCAGCCAUACCGCGUGGGUGAAGAAGGCCUUCGGGUUGUAAAGCCCUUUUGUUGGGAAAGAAAAGCAGCAGGUUAAUACCACGCUGUUCUGACGGUACCCAAAGAAUAAGCACCGGCUAACUUCGUG